AGCGAACGCUGGCGGCAGGCUUAACACAUGCAGGUCGAACGCGCGUAGCAAUACGUGAGUGGCAGACGGGUGAGGAACACGUGGGAAUAUGCCCUUUGGUUCGGAAUAACUCAGGGAAACUUGAGCUAAUACCGGAUAUCUCCGAGAGGAGAAAGAUUUAUCGCCAAAGGAUUAGCCCGCGUCUGAUUAGCUAGUUGGUGAGGUAACGGCUCACCAAGGCGACGAUCAGUAGCUGGUCUGAGAGGAUGAUCAGCCACACUGGGACUGAGACACGGCCCAGACUCCUACGGGAGGUAGCAGUGGGGGAAUAUUGGACAAUGGGCGCAAGCCUGAUCCAGCCAUGCCGCGUGAGUGAUGAAGGCCUUAGGGUUGUAAAGCUCUUUUGUCCGGGAAGAUAAUGACUGUACCGGAAGAAUAAGCCCCGGCUAACUUCGUGCCAGCAGCCGCGG
rnacentral:rRNA from 1 species